CCCUUGCGUCAUUCGGCCGCGACCAGGUUCUGCUCUUCCGCUUGGCGCGGUCCCUGGUCCCGGCGGGCGGUUGCAGCCCCGGAUGCUCGCAGCUCCCACUGGACGGCGACGGAGGCGUUGGCCGCGCGAGCGCAGGGGAGGUCGGCCUGUGUGAGGGUGUGAGCGGCGGUGACCAGAGCGGAAGCCCGCUGUGCGGUCGGCCAGCCCACGGGACCUCUAAACCAGGAACCCCAGGGUGGGGCAGGAGGCGACAACGCAAAGUCACAGGAUGCCGGUGACCUCCAGGUACAUUGUGGGGCCCUGGGAGCUGAGGACACGUGCCAAUUACUGUUCCCCGAGCCUGGAGAGCAGGGUGAUGGGACAGCCACUGCCUUCUUCAAACAACAUCCAUUUUAUCUGUGGGAAGAAUCCAUCUUUAUUUCAUCAGUUUCAACUAUCACUCAUAAAACGAUCCCUAAAUACCAACUCAACACAUACAAAUCCAUCAACGACUAUGCUUGUAAAUCAGUCCUAUCAACAGGCAUUUGUUGAGCACAUUCCUGGGUCCUAAGUCCUUGCAUGUCAUGGAGCCUUGGAAAGCAAGCUGGGCAGAUGACAUCCCCAAUCUCAUAAAUGAUGAAACCGGCAUCGGGGUGACCUACUCAAGCUGAUAAUGUGAGUGUUCAGAUUCCAGACCCUGGCUUCUCCCACUAUUUCUCUACCUGAGGUUGGGUGAGGGCCUUGGUGUUGACCAGAAGCGCAGAGAAAGAAUCCUGAAAUCAGAUGACCAAUGGUUUCAAGACUGGCUCUGUUGAUUGUUAUGGUGUGGCCUAGGGCAAAUUUCUUAAUGACUUAGUCUCAAAUGACUCAUUUGUAUUGUUAUCAUAGUUCCAUACCUCAAUAAAAGUAUACUUUAAAAAAAUC